UAGCUUGCUACCAGGCGUCGAGCGGCGGACGGGUGAGUAAUACUUAGGAAUCUACCUAGUAGUGGGGGAUAGCACGGGGAAACUCGUAUUAAUACCGCAUACGACCUACGGGAGAAAGGGGGCAGUUUACUGCUCUCGCUAUUAGAUGAGCCUAAGUCGGAUUAGCUAGAUGGUGGGGUAAAGGCCUACCAUGGCGACGAUCUGUAGCUGGUCUGAGAGGAUGAUCAGCCACACCGGGACUGAGACACGGCCCGGACUCCUACGGGAGGCAGCAGUGGGGAAUAUUGGACAAUGGGGGAAACCCUGAUCCAGCCAUGCCGCGUGUGUGAAGAAGGCCUUUUGGUUGUAAAGCACUUUAAGCAGUGAAGAAGACUCUUCGGUUAAUACCCGGAGACGAUGACAUUAGCUGCAGAAUAAGCACCGGCUAACUCUGUGCCAGCAGCCGCGGUAAUACAGAGGGUGCAAGCGUUAAUCGGAAUUACUGGGCGUAAAGCGAGCGUAGGUGGCUUGAUAAGUCAGAUGUGAAAUCCCCGGGCUUAACCUGGGAACUGCAUCUGAAACUGUUAGGCUAGAGUAGGUGAGAGGGAAGUAGAAUUUCAGGUGUAGCGGUGAAAUGCGUAGAGAUCUGAAGGAAUACCGAUGGCGAAGGCAGCUUCCUGGCAUCAUACUGACACUGAGGCUCGAAAGCGUGGGUAGCAAACAGGAUUAGAUACCCUGGUAGUCCACGCCGUAAACGAUGUCUACUAGUCGUUGGGUCCCUUGAGGACUUAGUGACGCAGCUAACGCAAUAAGUAGACCGCCUGGGGAGUACGGCCGCA
rnacentral:rRNA from 4 species